rnacentral:rRNA from 1 species
UUACAAAGCCACACCACUCUGGGUGCACCUGAUCUCACCUGUUUUCUAAGAGCUAUGCAGGGCUGGGCCUGGUUAGUACUUGGAUGUGAUACUACCUGAGAAAAAGUGCUGUGUUGUAGC